UUUCCUCUGGCUUGCCAGAAAGCU
rnacentral:piRNA from 1 species